AGCAGCAGCAGCAGCAGCAGCAGCAGCAGCAGCAGCAGCAGCAGCAGCAGCAACCAGCAGCAAUAUGCAAUGCCCACACAUUUUUGCAGCGAAGCUGAACCAUCGUCAACUGUCAUGAGACUCCUCCACUUCGAGUAGUGUAUUCGAAGACAAUCAACAGCUAACAAGGAGC